rnacentral:rRNA from 1 species
GCUGGCGGCAGGCCUAACACAUGCAAGUCGAACGGAGUUAUAUUGUAGCUUGCUAUGGUAUAACUUAGUGGCAGACGGGUGAGUAAUGUAUAGGAAUCUACCUAGUAGUACGGAAUAAUUGUUGGAAACGGCAACUAAUACCGUAUACGCCCUACGGGGGAAAAAUUUAUUGCUAUUAGAUGAGCCUAUAUUAGAUUAGCUAGUUGGUGGAGUAAUAGCCUACCAAGGCAAUGAUCUAUAGCUGAUCUGAGAGGAUGAUCAGCCACACUGGAACUGAGAUACGGUCCAUACUCCUACGGGAGGCAGCAGUGGGGAAUAUUGGACAAUGGGCGAAAGCCUGAUCCAGCCAUGCCGCAUGAGUGAAGAAUGCCUUUGGGUUGUAAAGCUCUUUUAGUGAGGAAGAUAAUGACGGUACUCACAAAAGAAGUCCUGGCUAACUCCGUGCCACCAGCCGCGGUAAUACGGAGAGGGCUAGCGUUAUUCAGAAUUAUUGGGCGUAAAGGGCGCGUAGUGCGGAUUACUAAGUUAAGAGUGAAAUCCGCAAGGCUCAACCUUGGAAUUGCUUUUACAACUGCUAAUCUAGAGAUUGAAAGAGGAUAGAGGAAUUCCUAUUGUAUAGGUGAAAUUCGUAAAUAUUAGGAGGAACACCAGUGGCUAAGGCGUCUAUCUGGUUCAAA